UUUGUCAUCAACCGAAUGUUGGAGUCUUUAUUUGAGAAAAGUCAACCUCCUUCAAGUCUUUAUUCUUUAACCACUCCUCGUCGUUCCACUUUCCAGCCAUGGAUAAGAAGAUCUGAGGAGUGAGAAGACUUGUUGCCAAAAAAAUCUGUCGAAAUACAAAUGUAUUUGGAACAUUUGUCUCGCGUUGAAGAUGUUUUGCCUCCUGCAAAGUCGAGUCUAAGGGAAAAGAUGGAAAAAGCGUUAUCGUUGCUAGAAGAUUCUUUGGGAAGUCGUUGUUUUCAAGUCCAGACAUUUUUGCUCGGGUAUGUAAUCAUGGAUUUCCAGAAUGGACUUCAAAUGUACGUUAUUACAGACCGAGUGAAUGCUUAUACCUAUCAGAUGCCAUCUCUUGUGGAGUAGGGGGUACUAUUGCCCUUCCUCCGGUCUUUGAAUCUGAUCAACCCAUGUAUUGCUGUGCUGUGCUGUGCUGUAGCUUGUGACCAUGGAGGAGAAACAGGAUUUUGAUUUAGAGACGAAAAAAGUUUUCCAGGCUCUCCAGGUUUGUUUUCAUUACAUAUAUUUUUUCAAUCAGAUUUUGGAUAACGAUGAAAAUACUACCCAAUUUAUUAUCAGGAUUUAGGAGAAUAAGAAAGAGAUGAAAGAAAGUAGCUUUCCUUAGCAUUUUGAGUUUGAAGUCGAAGUUAUUGUUUUUUCUACUUUUGAAAUCUCAUAAAAUGUGAAUUUUCCCCUCAGCUUCAUUUUCUGUGAUCUCUGUGUUUGCAUUUGCUAGUGUUUCUGAGGUUAAACAAUCUUUAAGCUUUAAAUUAGAGCUCAUGAGGCAUUCACUAUUACAACUGCAUUAGCUUGAGUCCAAAAUAUUUGUGCCAUUAAAUUAUAUGCGCAAAGAGACAUUGGUCUUGUUUGAUGGUGUUAUAAACUCUGUAUAAGCCCAACUGUUUAAAGGCUGCGGAUUUACGGACUAAUUUACAACCUCGACUUCGUCCUGAGGUAUUUAUCAGUAGUACCUUACAGUUUUUUCUAUGCUAAAUUAGGUUGUUUUCUGCUUUGUCUAAUAGAAUUUUUUCCCCAGUGUUUUUGAAGGGAUCAGAGAGCUGAGUUAACUGAAAUCGCUAAUGUUACCAGAGCUGUAUGCCAAACACACAGAUUGCCACUUGCUCUGACAUGGAUUCCUUGUGAUUAUACCCGGGGAACUGUUGAUGAUAUUUCAAAAUUGCGUGUCAGAUUACGUGAUUCAAGGAUGAUCCGGAAAUGUGUGUUUUUCAUAGAGCGUACAUCUUGUUAUGCCGAUGAGGAGAUGCAAGACUUUGUGCAUGCUUGUGAGCAACUAUUUAUGCACAAUUGGCAAGGUGCUGCUGGACGAGCCUUUAUAACAUAUCUUCCUUCCUUUGAGCCUGAUGUGAAGGAAAAUCAUGUAAGCGAGUAUCCUCUUGCUCAUCACGCACGAAAGUAUAAUUGGAAUGCUGCAGCUGCAAUCUGGCUAAGGGGCAGUGAUGCUGAUUAUAACUAUAUAUUAGAGUUCCUUCUCCUUAUCCUCAUGAAAGAGAGUUCAGAGCAGCAAGACUUGGUUGGGAACCUGAAGCUUACUUUACGGAAAACUUGUAACAGCUUGAGAAUGUUUUCAAAAGAAGAAUUACUCGGGGAACGAGGUUCUAAAGUUAGUAAAAACAAUGCUAAAAUUGAACCUGCUCCAAAUGCUGAUGGUAAUAUGUGCACCGUAUGUGCUAAUAAUAAAGACGAAAGGUAUCUGAAGUGUGAAAAUGGUUCGAUAAGGUUAUAGAAGAAAAUGGGCCAUAUGUAAAGGAUGCAAAAACAAGUAUACAGGGGAUAGCAAGAAGGGAACUUCAAAUCUACACAAACACUUAAAAAGUUGUUCAAAAAUUAGACGGAGAGAUGCAAAAACAAAUAUGUUUGUGCAAUGGCGAAGAGAAUGAAGUUAUCUAGCAUCACCUUCUAAGGACACCAGUUGUCUGACAUCACAUGAUCCAGAUUCUGAUGAUAAGUUCCUGGGAUUCCGGGAGUGGCACAAGCAGAAAGACGAUGGCGAUGUGGUUGAUUCACAAAAACUUGAUCUUAAUCGGUAUUUAGGAGAGCCUUUGGAAAACCUGGAUAAGGUUUCAGAUGUAUUAGCUUGGUGGCGAGUCAGUUCUCCGAGAUUUCCUACACUUGGUAAAAUGGCUCGUGAUUUCCUAGCGAUUCCAAUAUCAGCUACUGUAUCAAAGUCUUCUUUCAGCGGUGCAGUUGCGUUCAAUGGUUUCAGGCUUUAAUAUGUGGACAGGACUGGUUGGAAAGCCCUGAAAACAAUUGAGUUCUUCACUUUCUAGAGACAGGAGCAAGGAAGGGAUUUCUGGUUCUUCUCUGGUCUCCUUAAAUGUGAGAUCUGACUCGCUUGUGAAGCAAAUGUCUAAAUAUCUCGCUGGCCCGUUUACAGUGAGCAAACCUACCAGUCCAGAGGAUUUGAAGUUAAUCCAACACGUCUUCGAUUCUUCACUGAAUGGGUGGUCAGAAUUUUUUCUAAGAGUUCUUGUUUGCUUAGCUGAACGAUUUUAAGUUCACCUGUUUCAUACUUGUUUCUGCUAGUGAGAUUGUUGUUCAAUGCAAUAAUUAUUAUUUAA